rnacentral:rRNA from 1 species
CGGCGGACGGGUGAGUAAUGCCUAGGGAUCUGCCCAGUCGAGGGGGAUAACAGUUGGAAACGACUGCUAAUACCGCAUACGCCCUACGGGGGAAAGAGGGGGACCUUCGGGCCUCUCGCGAUUGGAUGAACCUAGGUGGGAUUAGCUAGUUGGUGAGGUAAUGGCUCACCAAGGCGACGAUCCCUAGCUGUUCUGAGAGGAUGAUCAGCCACACUGGGACUGAGACACGGCCCAGACUCCUACGGGAGGCAGCAGUGGGGAAUAUUGCACAAUGGGGGAAACCCUGAUGCAGCCAUGCCGCGUGUGUGAAGAAGGCCUUCGGGUUGUAAAGCACUUUCAGUAGGGAGGAAAGGGUGAGUCUUAAUACGGCUCAUCUGUGACGUUACCUACAGAAGAAGGACCGGCUAACUCCGUGCCAGCAGCCGCGGUAAUACGGAGGGUCCGAGCGUUAAUCGGAAUUACUGGGCGUAAAGCGUGCGCAGGCGGUUUGUUAAGCGAGAUGUGAAAGCCCUGGGCUCAACCUAGGAAUAGCAUUUCGAACUGGCGAACUAGAGUCUUGUAGAGGGGGGUAGAAUUCCAGGUGUAGCGGUGAAAUGCGUAGAGAUCUGGAGGAAUACCGGUGGCGAAGGCGGCCCCCUGGACAAAGACUGACGCUCAUGCACGAAAGCGUGGGGGGCAAACGGGAUUAGAUACCCUGGUAGUCCACGCCGUAAACGAUGUCUACU